GAGCCAGUCUCCCUUCCCCAGGUAUCAGCGCUCCUGGUUGUCACUUUCUGGCUCUUUUAUGGGGUGGGAAAUCUUUCAGCUUCAAGAAGUCCUGUCUCGCCUACAUAUGGCCAAGCCCCUCCUGCUGGCCCAGGGGCAGGUGGGAGGUGUGGGUGAGAUGACCUUAGCUGCUGGGUGCAAGUCAGGGUCCUUGGGAGUAGAAGUGCCCAGUACAAAGGGGUUCUGUGUGUGCAGGGAGCCAUGAAAGAGGCAUCUCUGCCCCACUCCCCCUCCUAGUUCAUAAGACAAUAAUCACUGAAAGGGAGUGGGGUGGGGGUGAUCUGGGGUCCAUGCUGUACCUGGACUGCACCAUUUCUUCCAGUACACUCCAGGUCCUGGAGGUACCAGUGCCCCUCAGGAAAGAGCUAGAGGCACAAGAAUCACAUCCCAGGCUUCAUGAGGAGAUGGCUGAAUAUUGGAAGGCACGCUGGCACCGGCUGGCAGUUGCCCUGAAAUUUAAAGAGGAGGAACUGCAGAGACUCCAGAGGCAGAGUGGGACCUGGCCUCCCCAGCAUGCAUUUAUUGAGCAUCUGCUACAUGCCUGGCCCUCUUCUGUGUGCAGAAGCAAUGUCAAAUCAGAUCACUCCUUGUCCUCAACAGCUUAUGGUUUGGGGGCACCCGGUAAUUGAGU
rnacentral:lncRNA from 1 species